rnacentral:lncRNA from 1 species
AAGCUUGUUGUCCCUCCUUGAUAGCACAACAAACUUAAGCAGCCUAAGCACUUUGCCUUUUCGACAACUUCAUCUGGUCUCCUUUUUGAUACAGCUUUGACCAAUUUAAAGUACUUCCAACACUCUGCACGCUUCACUCUAGUUUUCUUCUUCGCAACUACAGCAACCCCACUCUUCUUCUUUCUCUUCCCAGCAGCAACC